AUUCCCAGAAAAGUCUUGAAGCAGCGAUCUUACUUCUUCGGAUCAAAGCAUUCAACUGAUGCCCUCCAAUUUUGAUUUUGAAGCCUUGCAGAAGGUGCAGAGCUGCU